GAUGAACGCUGGCGGCGUGCCUAAUACAUGCGAGUCGAGCGAACAGACGAGGAGCUUGCUCCUCUGACGUUAGCGGCGGACGGGUGAGUAACACGUGGAUAACCUACCUAUAAGACUGGGAUAACUUCGGGAAACCGGAGCUAAUACCGGAUAAUAUAUUGAACCGCAUGGUUCAAUAGUGAAAGACGGUUUUGCUGUCACUUAUGGAUGGAUCCGCGCCGCAUUAGCUAGUUGGUAAGGUAACGGCUUACCAAGGCGACGAUGCGUAGCCGACCUGAGAGGGUGAUCGGCCACACUGGAACUGAGACACGGUCCAGACUCCUACGGGAGGCAGCAGUAGGGAAUCUUCCGCAAUGGGCGAAAGCCUGACGGAGCAACGCCGCGUGAGUGAUGAAGGUCUUCGGAUCGUAAAACUCUGUUAUUAGGGAAGAACAAAUGUGUAAGUAACUAUGCACGUCUUGACGGUACCUAAUCAGAAAGCCACGGCUAACUACGUG
rnacentral:rRNA from 1 species